UGGGGAAUUUUGGACAAUGGGCGAAAGCCUGAUCCAGCAAUGCCGCGUGUGUGAAGAAGGCCUUCGGGUUGUAAAGCACUUUUGUCCGGAAAGAAAUCCUUGGCUCUAAUACAGUCGGGGGAUGACGGUACCGGAAGAAUAAGCACCGGCUAACUACGUGCCAGCAGCCGCGGUAAUACGUAGGGUGCAAGCGUUAAUCGGAAUUACUGGGCGUAAAGCGUGCGCAGGCGGUUUGCUAAGACCGAUGUGAAAUCCCCGGGCUCAACCUGGGAACUGCAUUGGUGACUGGCAGGCUAGAGUAUGGCAGAGGGGGGUAGAAUUCCACGUGUAGCAGUGAAAUGCGUAGAGAUGUGGAGGAAUACCGAUGGCGAAGGCAGCCCCCUGGGCCAAUACUGACGCUCAUGCACGAAAGCGUGGGGAGCAAACAGGAUUAGAUACCCUGGUAGUCCACGCCCUAAACGAUGUCAACUAGUUGUUGGGGAUUCAUUUCCUUAGUAACGUAGCUAACGCGUGAAGUUGACCGCCUGGGGAGUACGGCCGCAAGAUUAAAACUCAAAGGAAUUGACGGGGU
rnacentral:rRNA from 1 species